AUAGGAGUAUAUGCCUGCACAUAUGGACACGGCGUUUUGGUGCUCGGGCGCAGCUGCACCCGAAAUCUUUACCAUCUGUUCUCAUCUGGGGAUUCACAUAACUCGUUCUGACAGGUCUGUGCCGGUACGCUGGAAAACCGAUAUACUUCGCCGUGUAUGUAGGAACAGUGCGUGUAUGCGGGCCGGAAUCGUAUGUGUGGACGUCCGUCGUCGCGCGGGCCUGGCUGGUCCGUGGACCAGAUCGUUUACUUUUGUAACCUGAGCCGUGGAAGGGAGUUACGGGACAGGCGGGCGUGUCAAAGCUGAGCCGACCAACCGGCCGCCGCCGAGGACAACACAUCUCCCUCCGGCUGAAGGCUACAGCGGCUGCAGGUAACCAAAGAUGGAGGGCGCUAGCAUGGAGUUUUUGCUGGACGCGGUCGACAGGUAAGGAAACCCUGCCCUCUGGCUGGAGAUCUAUCUUUUUUUCUUGGCAAUGCAGUGGACAUGGCGCGACGGCUGGCCAUUGUUACGCCGCCCGCAAAUGGCUAUGUCUGGCAGAUUCCCCUACGGGAGGAGUACGCGGAAAACUUCGAAUACCUAGAUCCAGUUCCGCUUGCAGUCGUCCCGCGGGGUGAUGGCACCGGCGGUGAGCCUGCUGACUCAAUCGCUAGGUCCGGCUGCGGGCAGAGAGUGGGCGGCGCUAGCCAGGGGCACCCAGAGGCCGACGAGCGGCGUCGACGGGAGGCCUCGCCGAUGAGAUCCGCAUAAUCUGCCAACAGAGUGUAUCCUGAGCCCCCUGGAUGGACAAAAAGAUUACGCCUCGGGAGUGUGUGACCGGAUAGAACACUAUGUCCAUCUAGGAUGAGUCCGUUUGAGCGGUCAAUCGGCAAGUACGCAGAGGAGCCUACAAAAAGCAUGGUGUGCCCAGAACUAAGACUCAUUUUUGAUUCGCUCGGUGAGGCGUAUGACUUCUACAACCUGGGAAAUUGGGUUCGGGAUAUGGUAUGUCAAGAGCAGACUACGAAAUCAAUGCAGGAGAUCGCUUGUGGUUGCUCGGUGCGUAUGGACAAUUGUUUAACAAUUCUGUGUGCACUGAGUGAAUUAGUUGUGUUAUUCCUGACGGUAUUAUUAUUUUUGUGUGUGAAGGGCAAGCCGGAGGCCAAUAAUAGCCAUUAGUUGUGUUUAACAA